rnacentral:tRNA from 1 species
CCCCCGGUAGCUCAGCUGGAUAGAGCAUCCGACUUCUAAUCGGACGGCCGCGCGUUCGAGUCGCGCCCGGGGGACC